CCGGCGACGGGUGAGUAACGCGUAUGCAACUUACCUAUCAGAGGGGGACGAACCGGCGAAAGUCGGACUAAUACCGCAUGAAGCAGGGGCCCCGCAUGGGGAUAUUUGCUAAAGAUUCAUCGCUGAUAGAUAGGCAUGCGUUCCAUUAGGCAGUUGGCGGGGUAACGGCCCACCAAGCCGACGAUGGAUAGGGGUUCUGAGAGGAAGGUCCCCCACAUUGGUACUGAGACACGGACCAA
rnacentral:rRNA from 1 species